GACGAACGCUGGCGGCGUGCUUAACACAUGCAAGUCGAACGGCAAGGCCCUGCUUUUGUGGGGUGCUCGAGUGGCGAACGGGUGAGUAACACGUGAGUAACCUGCCCUUGAUUUUGGGAUAACUUCAGGAAACUGCUGCUAAUCCCGUAUCGGAGAUCCUGCUGCCUGGUGGGGGUUGGACAGUUUCGGCCUUUGGGGAUGGAUUGGCGGCUUAUCAGCUUGGUGGUGGGGUAGUGGCUUACCAACGCUUUGACCGGUAGCAGGCCCGAGAGGGUGACUGGCCACAUUGGGAUUGAGGUACGGCGCAGACUAGAAUCCGAGGGAGCAGUGGCGAGUAGUGUACAGCGGGCGGAAGUCAGAUGCAGCAAGGCCGCGUCCGGGAUGACGGGCAGCGGGGUGUAAAGCGCAGUCGCCUGUGAUGAAGAGAGAGUGACGGUAAUGGGUAAAGAAGCACCGGCUAACUACGUG
rnacentral:rRNA from 1 species